rnacentral:lncRNA from 1 species
UAGAAAACUGAGCAAAAAGUUGAUUUUUCCCAAAGAAAAGUAGUUAGUGGAAAAGAUGAUAUUCUGACUCCUAGUCCUUUUCUCUUUCUGCAGGUCCACAUUAGGUGAAGAGAGAUGGUUCUAAUAAGCAAAGUAGAGGCAGAGAUGACCAGUGAGAGACCCACGCUAUGUUCAUUCUGAAGGGCAGCCUAGAAGCUCCCUCAGAUGAUCUUGGCAUUCAGCAACUGGGCUGGUCUUCUACAGGGAAUAGGAAAAAUGUGGCAGUUCUAAGCAGACCUGGUUUGCAGCCAUAUUGUCAAGGAGGCUGUUUGUCUUUGGCACCUUUCUUAUUUUCUCUUUUAGUGUUCUAUCCCCCUGCAACUAUCACUCUCCACCCUCCAAUACUGCCUUAACCCAAUUCUGUCAGGCCUAUUGCUCUCAUCUAACCAUCUUUGUUAGAAAGUAUAUGUUGAACCAAUACCCACUAAAGUGUUAGUCAAUAAGGAUUUAGUAUGUGGCUAAAGAAUAAUCCAGUGCUGUAUGAUUAUAUUGGGGGAACCUAGAAGACCCCCAAAACCUUGAAAUUUUAAAAAAAGUUUUCAUGAUGAAAUUUCAAGAAAUAGACUCUGGACAAAUACUUUUGGAGUGUUUUCCAAUACUCCCUAAUUCACAGAAUGUAAAGUUUGGCCUUCUUUCCAAACUUUUCAGAAAAAAAAGGAUUCAUUUAAAGGCCAUAUCUAGCCUUUAAAGUAGAAAACAAAGUCAGUCCUCAUACCAGUAGAUUGUUAAGGCCCCCUGAAGCACACUAUUCCCUAAACUGUGACUUUAAUACAAAUAGUGACCAAGUCAGAUCAGUUUGUUUUAUAUUUGGUAAAACUGAGGCCCAGAAAUAUAAAGUAAUUUGCCCAGUCACUCAACUAGUGACUAGCAGAUUUAGGGUUAUAAUCUUGAUCUAUUGACUUCCAGAUUGCCCCUCUUUUCACUAUAUGACAAGUUACAAAUACUCCUGGCUUUCUUAUUAGACCCAUCUGUGUGUGUGUGUGUGUGUCUUUCUAUCUCUCUGUCCUUGUCUUUCCUUGUCUUUAUCUGUCUGUCUGUCAGUCUCUCUGUCUCUGUCCUUGUUUCUCUUUUUGUUCACCUCUGUCUCUCUGUCAGUUUGUUAUCUCUUUGUCUUUGUCUCUUUUUCUCUACCCCUCUGUCUUUUUCUGUCUCUCUGUCCUUGUCUCUUUGUGUUUGCCUUUGUCUCUCUCUUUUUUCUGUCUGUCUGUCUCUGUCUAUCUCAAUACAUAAAUACAUAUAUAUACAUAUAUAUAUAUACAUAUAUAUAUAUAUGUUUCUCCACUAUUAGUUUAGUCUUGUGGCUAAUAUAAUGAGUUCUCAGUGAGGAAGUUUCUCUACUGAUGCUGAUUGGUACUUCCAUAUGUGUAUGUGUGUGUGUGUGUGUGUGUGUGUGUGUGUGUGUGUGUAUGUAGUUUUAGAAAAUCCUAGAAAAUGAAAAAAGCUAAUUAUUUGCCUAGGAUCUCAUGACCAGUAAAUUUCAAAGGCAAAACUUGGGCCCAGAUCACACAGCCUUUUAGACUCAGAUCUUCUUAUGAAGUAUUUGCUCCCUUCACUCCCUCUCCAUGCCCACCUAAAGCCAAGGACUUCAUAAGUAGCAGCCCUUUUUAUAGCCUAAAGCAUUCUACCCCAGCUCCUACCGGUGUUAAAUCCAUCUCUUUCCAAGCAGCCUUUCCUAUCUAUGGAACCCCUUCCUGGGGUUAAAUCCCUUCAUUAUUUCAUGAGAAUCUGUAGACAUUAUUGCUUUGCUCCCAGGUUAAGUCACUGUGCUAUUCUAUCUCCUAACUUGCCCCCAUGCAAAUAAUGACCCUCUUCUUUCAGCUUUCCCUUUUGUUUUGUUGCCCUCUAUUUAAAUAUAAUCUCCCAGAGAGUAAAGAUGUCUUAUUUUCUUGUAUUCAUAUCCCCAAUCCUUGGCACAGAGCCUGCCACAUAGUGAACACCUAAUAAAUGUUUUCUAAUUA